rnacentral:rRNA from 1 species
AGAUUCCUACGGGAGGCACCAGUGGGGAAUAUUGCACAAUGGAGGAAACUCUGAUGCAGCAACGCCGCGUGGAGGAUGACAUUUUUCGGAGCGUAAACUCCUUUUAUAUAGGAAGAUAAUGACGGUACUAUAUGAAUAAGCACCGGCUAACUCCGUGCCAGCAGCCGCGGUAAUACGGAGGGUGCAAGCGUUACUCGGAAUCACUGGGCGUAAAGAGCGUGUAGGCGGGUUAUUAAGUCAGAAGUGAAAUCCUAUGGCUCAACCAUAGAACUGCUUUUGAAACUGGUAACCUAGAGUAUGGGAGAGGUAGAUGGAAUUUCUGGUGUAGGGGUAAAAUCCGUAGAGAUCAGAAGGAAUACCGAUUGCGAAGGCGAUCUACUGGAACAUUACUGACGCUGAGACGCGAAAGCGUGGGGAGCAAACAGGAUUAGAUACCCUGGUAGUCCACGCCCUAAACGAUGUACACUAGUUGUUGCCAUGCUAGACAUGGCAGUAAUGCAGUUAACACAUUAAGUGUACCGCCUGGGGAGUACGGUCGCAAGAUUAAAACUCAAAGGAAUAGACGGGGACCCGCACAAGCGGUGGAGCAUGUGGUUUAAUUCGACGAUACGCGAAGAACCUUACCUGGACUUGACAUUUACAGAACUUUCAAGAGAUUGAUUGGUGUCUGCUUGCAGAAACUGUAGGACAGGUGCUGCACGGCUGUCGUCAGCUCGUGUCGUGAGAUGUUGGGUUAAGUCCCGCAACGAGCGCAACCCACGUCGUUAGUUGCUAACAGUUCGGCUGAGAACUCUAACGAGACUGCCUGGGCAACCAGGAGGAAGGUGUGGACGACGUCAAGUCAUCAUGGCCCUUACGUCCAGGGCUACACACGUGCUACAAUGGGGUAUACAAAGAGCCGCGAUACCGCGAGGUGGAGCAAAUCUCAAAAAUAUCUCCCAGUUCGGAUUGUACUCUGCAACUCGAGUGCAUGAAGUUGGAAUCGCUAGUAAUCGUAGAUCAGCAAUGCUACGGUGAAUACGUUCCCGGGUCUUGUACUCACCGCCCGUCACACCAUGGGAGUUGAACUCAUUCG